rnacentral:lncRNA from 1 species
GUCUAGUCUUCAGAGGCCCAGUCUCCGUGACUUUGUGACCUGCAGGUAUUGGGAGAUCCACAGCUAAGAUGCCAGGACCCCCUGGAAGCCUAGAAAUGGGACCAUUGACAUUUAUGGAUGUGGCCAUAGAAUUCUCUCUGGAGGAGUGGCAGUGCCUGGACACAGCACAGCAGAAUUUAUAUAGGAAUGUCAUGUUAGAGAAUUAUAGAAACCUGGUAUUCCUGGGUAUUGCUGUGUCUAAUUUAGACCUGAUCACCUGUCUGGAGCAAGGAAAAGAGCCCUGGAAUAUGAAGAGACACGAGAUGGCAGCCAAACCCCCAGAUGGAGUUUUGCUGUUAUUGCCCAGACUGGAGUGCAGUGGCCUGAUCUCAGCUAACUGAAACCUCCGCCUCCCGGGUUCAAGCGAUUUCUCCUGCCUCAGCCUUCCGAGUAACUGGGAUUACAGGUGUGCACCACCACACCCGGCUAAUUUUUGUAUUUUUAGUAGAGAUGGGGUUUCACCAUGUUGGUCAAGCUGGUCUCGAAUUCUCGACCUUGUGAUCUGCCUGCCUCGGUCUCGCAAAGUGCUAGGAUUACAGGCCUGAGCCUCCAUGCCCGGCCAAUAUUUGUAACAU